UACGAAGGUUGCAAGCGUUACUCGGAAUUACUAGGCGUAAAGGGUAGGUAGGUGGUUUGGUAAGUCUACUGUGAAAGCUCCCGGCUCAACUGGGAGAGGCCAAUGGAUACUACCAGACUUGAGUAUAGGAGAGGUUACUGGAAUUCCCGGUGUAGCGGUGAAAUGCGCAGAUAUCGGGAGGAACACCAAUGGCGAAAGCAGGUAACUGGACUAUUACUGACACUCAACUACGAAAGCUAGGGGAGCAAACAGG
rnacentral:rRNA from 1 species